ensembl:lncRNA
GGAGAGUAGAGGAGGAUAAUAGAGGUGUAGAGUAGAGGAGGAUAAUAGAGGUGGAGAGUGGAGGAGGAUAAUAGAGGUGGAGAGUAGAGGUGGAGAGUAGAGGAGGAGAGUAGCGGUGGAGAGUAGAUGAGGAGUGGGGUGGAGGAGAGUGGAGGAGGAUAAUAGAGGUGUGGAGUGGAGGAGGAUAAUAGAGGUGUAGAGUGGAGGAGGAGUGGGGAGGAGGAGAGUGGAGGAGGAUAAUAGAGGUGUGGAGUGGAGGAGGAGUGGGGAGGAGGAGAGUGGAGGAGGAUAAUAGAGGUGUAGAGUAGAGGAGGAUAAUAGAGGUGGAGAGGAGAGGAGGAUAAAAGAGGUGGAGAGUGGAGUAGGAGUGGGGAGGAGGAGAGUGGAGGAGGAUAACAGAGGUGUAGAGUGGAGGAG